AAACAUCCCUCCGCCUUUGUGCUUCUAGCCAGGAUAAACAUACUGACUGGUUUCUAUCUCUCUACAGGAAACACAUGCUUACCAGUUGUUACGUUCUAAUUGAGCCAGCAGAGGAACUUUUCCUUCUCUCUGAGUAAAUGAAACAUAUGACUUGGCUUCAGGUUCAGAGAACAGAAAAAGAAGCAGAUGAUAUGGUAGACAGACCUUCUGCAGGUAACAAAUUCCUGUUGUUUUUUUUUCACUUAAAGGAAAAAUAAAGCUUUUUAGUUGUGUUAAUUUGAUG
rnacentral:lncRNA from 1 species